rnacentral:rRNA from 1 species
UGGUCAAGUUAUUAAGGGUGCAGGGCGGAUGCCUUGGCACUAGGAGCCGAUGAAGGACGUGAUAAGCUGCGAUAAGCUUCGGGGAGUUGCACGUAAACUUUGAUCCGAAGAUUUCCGAAUGAGGAAACUCACUUAGAGUAAUGUCUAAGUAUCAUUAAGUGAAUACAUAGCUUAAUGAGGGGAACUCAGGGAACUGAAACAUCUAAGUACCUGAAGGAAGAGAAAGAAAUUCGAUUCCGUAAGUAGCGGCGAGCGAACGCGGAUUAGCCCAAACCAAUAAAGUUUUCUUUAUUGGGGUUGAGGACAUACCACAUAUAAGAGGUCAUUAUAGACGAAGAAGUUUGGAAAAACUCAUCAUAGAAGGUAAUAAUCCUGUAGUCAAAAUAAUAAUUCUUUAGGUAUGAUCCAGAGUACCACGGGACACGUGAAACCCUGUGGGAAGCAGGAGGGACCACCCUCCAAGGCUAAAUACUACCUAGUGACCGAUAGCGUAUAGUACCGUGAGGGAAAGGUGAAAAGAACCCCGGGAGGGGAGUGAAAUAGAACCUGAAACCCUGCACUUACAAGCUGUGGAAGCACAUUUCUUGUGUGACCGCGUACUUUUUGUAGAACGGGCCAACGAGUUACGUUAAGUAGCAAGGUUAAGCACUUAAGGUGCGGAGCCGUAGCGAAAGCGAGUUUUAACUGAGCGUUCAGUUACUUGACGUAGACCCGAAACCGGGCGACCUACCCAUGAGCAGGAUGAAGCGAAAGUAAAAUUUCGUGGAGGUCCGAACCCACGAGCGUUGAAAAGCUCGGGGAUGACUUGUGGGUAGCGGUGAAAUUCCAAUCGAGCCCGGAGAUAGCUGGUUCUCCCCGAAAUAGCUUUAGGGCUAGCCUCAAGGUGAGAGAUACGGAGGUAGAGCACUGAAUGUCCUAGGGGGUAUUGCACCUACCGAAGACUAUCAAACUCCGAAUGCCGUCAUCUUAUACUUGGGAGUCAGACUGUGGGUGAUAAGAUUCAUAGUCGAAAGGGCAACAGCCCAGAUCGUCAGCUAAGGUCCUUAAAUGUAAGUUAAGUGGUAAAGGAUGUGGGAUUGCACAGACAACCAGGAUGUUGGCUUAGAAGCAGCCACUCAUUCAAAGAGUGCGUAAUAGCUCACUGGUCGAGUGAUCCUGCGCCGAAGAUUUCCGGGGCUAAAACUUACUACCGAAGCUACGGCAUCAGUAAUGAUGGGUAGGGGAGCUUCCCAUACGGGUUGAAGCAUGACCGUAAGGACAUGUGGACAGUAUGGGAGUGAGAAUGUUGGCAUGAGUAGCGAGAUGUGGGUGAGAAUCCCACAGGCCGUAAACCCAAGGUUUCCAGGGGAAGGUUCGUCCGCCCUGGGUUAGUCGGGACCUAAGCUGAGGCCGAAAGGCGUAGGUGAUGGACAACAGGUUGAUAUUCCUGUACUACCGAUAACCGUUUGAGAGAAGGGAUGACACAGUAGGAUAAGCUAAGCACACUGUUGGUUAUGUGUGCCCAAGCAUUGAGGCAGUCAAAGUAGGCAAAUCCGCUUUGAUAAUGCUGGGAUGUGAUGGGGAGCGAAAUUUAGUAGCGAAGUAGCUGAUUUCACACUGUCAAGAAAAGUCUCUAUCGAGGUUAAAGGUACCCGUACCGCAAACCGACACAGGUGGGUGAGGAGAGUAUCCUAAGGCCAGCGAGAGAACUGUUGUUAAGGAACUCGGCAAAAUGACCCCGUAACUUAGGGAUAAGGGGUGCCACCAUCAGGUGGCCGCAGAGAAUAGGCCCAAGCGACUGUUUACCAAAAACAUAGGUUUCUGCUAAGUCGCAAGACGAUGUAUAGGAGCUGACGCCUGCCCGGUGCUGGAAGGUUAAGGGGAUCUGUUAGAGCAAUCGAAGCAGUGAACUUAAGCCCCAGUAAACGGCGGCCGUAACUAUAACGGUCCUAAGGUAGCGAAAUUCCUUGUCGGGUAAGUUCCGACCCGCACGAAAGGCGUAACGAUUUGGGCACUGUCUCAACAACAGACUCGGUGAAAUUGUAAUUCCGGUGAAGAUGCCGGAUACCUGCGACAGGACGGAAAGACCCCAUGGAGCUUUACUGUAGCUUGACAUUGGGUCUUGGUACUACAUGUACAGGAUAGGUGGGAGGCUUUGAAACCAGGACGCCAGUUUUGGCGGAGCCAUCCUUGGGAUACCACCCUUGUAGUACUGGGACUCUAACCAUAGGCCAUGAAUCUGGUCUUGGGACACUGUCAGGUGGGCAGUUUGACUGGGGCGGUCGCCUCCCAAAAGGUAACGGAGGCGCUCAAAGGUUCUCUCAGUACGGUCGGAAAUCGUACGUAGAGUGUAAAGGCAAAAGAGAGCUUGAUUGCAAGACAUACAGGUCGAGCAAGGAUGAAAAUCGGACUUAGUGAUCCGGUGGUUCUGCGUGGAAGGGCCAUCGCUCAACGGAUAAAAGCUACCCUGGGGAUAACAGGCUUAUCUCCCCCAAGAGUCCACAUCGACGGGGAGGUUUGGCACCUCGAUGUCGGCUCAUCACAUCCUGGGGCUGUAGUAGGUCCCAAGGGUUGGGCUGUUCGCCCAUUAAAGUGGUACGCGAGCUGGGUUCAGAACGUCGUGAGACAGUUCGGUCCCUAUCCAUCGCAGGCGUAGGAAAUUUGAGAAGACCUGUCCUUAGUACGAGAGGACCGGGAUGGACGUACCUCUGGUGUACCAGUUGUCCUGCCAAGGGCAUGGCUGGGUAGCUAUGUACGGAAUGGAUAAGCGCUGAAAGCAUCUAAGCGCGAAGCCAACUUCAAGAUAAGAUUUCCCACCGCAAGGGUAAGACCCCAGAAAGACUAUCUGGUUGAUAGGUCGAAGGUGUAAGUGCAGCAAUGUAUUUAGCUUAUCGAUACUAAUAGGUCGAGGACUUGACCAAU